GGUUAGUUUUAUGUGCCAGGAAAACUGGGCUAAGGAAUGUCCAGGUAGCUGAUAAAACAUUAUUUCUGGGUGUGUCUGUGAGGAUAUUUUUGGAGGAGAUUAGCAUUUGAAUCCCAUGACUGAGGAAAGAAGAUCUGUCCACACCACUCUGAACAGGCAUCAUCCAAUCCUUUGAGAGCCCCAGUAGGACAAAAAGGCAAAGGAAGGAUCACUGAGUAAACCUGCAUCACGCAGUUUCACACAUGGACCCACCACCCAUCUGCUUCUUUGAAAUCACGGUCAACAGGACAGACAAAAUUAAAACUUCGAGUUCUGAUGAUGGCACACUUCCUCAGCAUUGCCUCUGGUUUGAGAUCACAUUCCCUCUGCAGAGGACAAAUCCCAAGUACAAGUCCAGGGUUUCUUCACCAGAUGCAAGAACUUCCCCAUGACGACGUGAUAUCCCAGUAAAUUAUACCAGGUUCAGGAAAGCAAUCCUAUGGGCUCUCUCAUCUGCUCCAAAAAUAAAUGUCAUCAAGUCAGUAUUUAAGAGCAUGAAGUGGUCUCUGAAUGGCUACAUCCUGACAUCCAGCUUGUUUCGGAGAACAAUCUGGGAUGAGGUCUUCCCGAGAAGCUACCCAUGCAAGUGGUAACUUCCCCCACACCUGCCAUUUAAAGAAUCUUUCAUCUCCACAACAAAAGCACAGAUAAAUGCUCUGCUGCUGAAACGUCACAAGAGGAGGAAACCAGAAUUCCCUGCUAGACAUAAUGACUUGGAGGAAACAGAGCACAAAGAAAGGCAGAUGGAGACGUGAAAUUAUUACAGAAAAGAGAGCUGAGAUCAAAAAAUCGGUAGGGGAGCCUGAGAUCAUGGGAGCCAGAAGAAUGGAUGGAUUCACAGAGCAGGAUUCACGGAUACUAAGAAUUAAUGGAUAGUAAAGAAGAAGACACACUUGGAAGAAAGAGCACAGCUUCUUCAAGGAAGGAGUCUUGACCUUUUUUUCAUCCGCAAUGGCCAUGAUGGAGAAGUACACAAAAUGGUAAAGGAUGACAAUUGAUACUGAAGCUUUGGUCUAAAUCAAUAAACAAGAGUGUGCAGGGCAAGACCCUGAGCUGGCAGUCAGGAGAGAAGGGGGUUCAGGAAAGUGGGGGGGGGGUGCCAACCACGGGGACUCCCGGCCCUAAAACUCCACAGGAUUCUGUUCACCUCAAGGCGUGGUGCUGUGGAUAACUUCAGUCGUUCUUCUUUGCAUUAUUUUUAUUUUCCAGUAUUCCCUAAUUAGAAUGUUUAACUUUGUUAAAGUACGGGGGAAACUAUUCUAGAAGCUUAUAAGACAUCUGUCUACAGGGAUAGGCUUCAUUUUAACAAUUUUCAAGGAAAAUGUAGAUGCUUUGGACUACUUCUAUAGGUAUUUAUAGAUAUAGGUAUAUUCUAUUUAAGAGGAAUUUACAUAUCACCUUUAUGGAGGAAAAUCAAAUGCAUGCCAAUUAUCUUUUAUUUCUACUUUUAAUAUAGAAGAUGCCUACAGCAACAAACUACUUUAAAUUUUUUUCUAUCUAACUAUCUACAUAUAUAUGCCUAGGUCCUUGCCAUAAAUUCUAAAAAUACUCAGACACCUCAUUUAUUUAGUCAGUGGAUACUGAAUGCAUUGGGGAACGCAUUGGUAAGGAAAAAUAAAAAAUAUGUACCCUCUCUGUGGAGAAAAGGGAACCCUCCUACACUGUUGGUGGGAAUGUAACUUGGUGCAGCCA